GGCUCAGAACGAACGCUGGCGGCAUGCCUUACACAUGCAAGUCGAGCGGCAGCGCGGGGGCAACCCUGGCGGCGAGCGGCGCACGGGUGAGUAAUGCAUCGGAACGUGUCCUCUUGUGGGGGAUAACCAGUCGAAAGACUGGCUAAUACCGCAUGAGCUCGCGAGAGGAAAGCAGGGGACCCGCAAGGGCCUUGCGCGAGAGGAGCGGCCGAUGCCGGAUUAGCUAGUUGGUGGGGUAAAAGCCCACCAAGGGGAAGAUCCGUAGCUGGUCUGAGAGGACGACCAGCCACACNGCUACCGAGACACGGGACNGACUCCUACGGAGUCAGUCAGUGGG
rnacentral:rRNA from 1 species